CCAUUUCUUCCUCGGAAUUUUGAAGGAAAACUAAAAAGAGAAGAUCGCACAUUUGUUACCCAACAUUUUAUUGGUUUUCUAUUCGAGUACUCAACAUUCAAUCUCACCUUUCUGAGUUGCUUAACAUUAUUUUUUUCUAAUGUGGUACCUAUGGUGAGUUUCAUCACUUGAGUGAUGACAAUAAAGUGGGCUCAGAUUGGAAAAAGAGAACACACAUAUCUAGCACCUUUUGUUAAAUUUCUAAUUCAGCAC
rnacentral:lncRNA from 1 species